CCCAAUUAUCCACUCCUUUCUUUCACAUACGACCAUAGGCAGUUGAAAAUACGGGAUCCCGUCCGCUCUCCCCUAGUCAAACAGCUGACCGCCGGAUCAGUACUCAGGUGGGUGACCACUGGGGAAUCCCCGGUGUUGUAUGUUUUG
rnacentral:rRNA from 1 species